AGGAGUCUAGCUCAGGGGGAGAGCAUUUGACUGCAGAUCAAGAGGUUCCUGGUUCAAAUCCAGGGACUGUAA
rnacentral:tRNA from 1 species